rnacentral:lncRNA from 1 species
AUUUCUGGAAAGCUGUAGUCCAAUGCUAUAGCCAGUUUUCUUGACUAUAAAUAGGGUUUCCAAAACCAAACGGAGAACACAGCUCUUCUUCAAACUGAAGGUGGUUAUGCCUGAGAUGAAACUGAAUUCUACUCAGGCAAGAGAUGUGCUUAUGUAUAUAGAGCAAAUCACAACACAGUGACGUCAGUGAUAAACCAAACCAAACAAAAGUAAUCUGGGGAAAGGUAACCUGUGUCCAUGGAAACAGUGGCAUGAUUUGUGCCAAAUUCUGAAGCAAUCUGCCUAUUAAGGGCACUGGACACAGAAUCCGUGUGAAGCUGUACCCCUAAAGGUUUUAA